rnacentral:misc_RNA from 1 species
GUCAAGGCAGAAACCAAGUUCAAUUUUAGAAAUAAAGGAUUCUUGACCUUUGAACCCAUUACCCUUGUACCUAUGCAACUGAAAAUGGUAGUACCAUCCUUGUUAACAGAGAAAGAGAUAAGCUGGCUCAAUGAGUACCACACACAGUGCAGGGAGGUGGUGGGACCGGAACUCAAGAGACAGGGGAAAAAAGAGGCGUACGAAUGGCUGAUGAAGGAGACCCAGAGUAUUGGGUGAUGAUGACAUACAGAUGAAUUUAUAAUUAUCAACUCUAGAACAAAUUUAGGGCGAAAACCUGAUUAUACAUCUUAAAAAAAAUUUUCACACACUUAAAUGUGAUAACAAUAAAUGAUAUGCAAUAUG